rnacentral:rRNA from 1 species
AGCAGCCGCGGUAAUUCCAGCUCCAAUAGCGUAUAUUAAAGUUGUUGCAGUUAAAAAGCUCGUAGUUGAAUUUCGGGAUCAAUAUAUCGGUCGUGCCUUCGGUACGUACUGGUAUCAUUGGUUUCUCCUUUCUGACGAACCAUGAUGUCAUUAAUUUGGUGUUAUGGGGAGUUAGGACUGUUACUUUGAAAAAAUUAGAGUGUUUAAAGCAGGCUUUAGCUUGAAUACAUUAGCAUGGAAUAAUGAAAUAGGACGUUCGAACCUAUUUUGUUGGUUUCUAGGAUCAACGUAAUGAUUAAUAGGGAUAGUUGGGGGCAUUAGUAUUCAAUUGUCAGAGGUGAAAUUCUUGGAUUUAUUGAAGACUAACUACUGCGAAAGCAUUUGCCAAGGAUGUUUUCAUUAAUCAAGAACGAAAGUUAGGGGAUCGAAGACGAUCAGAUACCGUCGUAGUCUUAACCAUAAACUAUGCCGAC